CUCUUCGGAUUGACGUCACCUGGCGCAUGCCCAGUUGAUCUGCACCUUCCCGGCGCUGGCUGCAUUUUCGGGCGCCCGGGAAGAGUUGGUGGUGAAGAAGAACCCGGAAGUGCACCGUCUUGCCUCCUUCGUCCAAACAGGAAGGCUGACCUCAUGAUAGUGAAUAAGUCUCACGAGAUCUGAUGGUUUUAUAAAGGAGAGUUCCCCCGCCCACGCUCUCGCCUGCUGCCGUGAAAGACGUGACUUUGCUUCUCCUUUGCCUUCUGCCAUAAUUGUGGGGCCUCCCCAGCCAUGUGGAACGGAUUUGCCAUGGGGAGCAUAGAGAGCAAGAGGGUGAGUAAUUGACAUCUCCAAAUCCCAACGGGAAUCAGGAUCUUUCAUGUUAUGUUCCUUCAGGUUAAAGACUUUCUAUUAUUUUUGUAUUAUUUCCUGUAUAAUGUCCAGCACUGUAUUAGGUAAAAUAAGUAUUAUGGACCUAUUUCUUGAAUGCAUGUCCCAGUGACUAUGAGGUUUUUACCUCCUGACUAUUGCCCCAAAUUGUCCUUUAUUGUUUUUAUUAUUUUCUAAAAAGAAACUUAGCUAAAAUCGGAUCGUAAGCCUUUAGAGGAAGCAGAGUAAAAGAGUUUUCAUUUAAUCAAACAGAUUCUGGGCCCUAACCCCAUGCACAUAUCACCAUCACCUGCUUUUACUUAAUGUUCCCCAAAAACAAAAACAAAUAAAUAUUCUUGUUACAAUACAGGAACAACAUUAGCCUUGGGGUAUCACCACAGGUCAUUGUUACUUCCAGCAAAAGGCAAGAUUUGGAACAGAAAUCCAAACAAUUAUCCAUUCAUUUUGAAUGUGAUCCUAAUGAUUCUGCUUAGAGAAAGGUUAGAUGACCUCUUACUUUUCCUUUCAAUUAUGAUUGCAUGAUGACAAAUUUAGAGCCAAGGGGAUUUUUGAAAUACUGGCUAAAUUCCCGUGCAAACAAUACAUUAAAAAAAAAAAAAAAAGUGUUGAAAUGACUCCAGAAGCUGUGCCCACUUUUGCAAGAUUAAUUUUGCAAACACACAGUUGAUACAUGCUCCUUCACGGUCUCAAGUACUACAUACGGCAAAAAUGU